GAUGAACGCUGGCGGCGUGCCUAACACAUGCAAGUUGAGCGUGAAAUUUAUAUUGAUUCUUCGGAUGAUUUAUAAAUGGAAAGCAGCGGACGGGUGAGUAACGCGUGGAUAACCUGCCCUAUACUCCAGGAUAACAUACCGAAAGGUAUGCUAAUACUGGAUAAUAUACAUUAGUCGCAUGGCUUUUGUAUCAAAGAUUACGGUAUAGGAUGGAUCCGCGUUCCAUUAGCUAGUUGGUGGGUAAAGGCCUACCAAGGCGACGAUGGAUAGCCGACCUGAGAGGGUGAUCGGCCACACUGGAACUGAGACACGGUCCAGACUCCUACGGGAGCAGCAGUGGGAUAUGCACAAUGGCGAAGCCUGAUGCAGCAACGCCGCGUGAGCGAUGAAGCCUUCGGGUCGUAAAGCUCUGUCCUAAAGG
rnacentral:rRNA from 1 species